rnacentral:rRNA from 1 species
AUUGAACGCUGGCGGCAGGCCUAACACAUGCAAGUCGAGCGAGCGGCGGACGGGUGAGUAAUGUCUGGGAAACUGCCUGAUGGAGGGGGAUAACUAAUGGAAACGGUAGCCAAUACAGCAUACCAUCAGAUGUGCCCAGAUGGGUAUAGCUAGUAGGUGGGGUAAGUGCAUACAUAGGAGACGAGCGCUAGCUGGUCAAAGAGGAUGACCGGCCACUGUGAAACUGAGACAGGGUCCAAACACCUACGGGAGGCGGCAGUGGGGAAUAUUGCACAAUGGGCGAAAGCCUGAGGCAGCCAUGCCGCGGUUAUGAAGAAGGCCUUCGGGUUGUAAAGUACUUUCAGCGGGGAGGCGUUACCCGCAGAAGAAGCACGGGCUAAUUCCGUGCCAGCCGCCGCGGUAAUA